rnacentral:rRNA from 1 species
CGUGCUUAACACAUGCAAGUCGAACGAUGAAGCCCAGCUUGCUGGGUGGAUUAGUGGCGAACGGGUGAGUAACACGUGAGUAACCUGCCCUUGACUCUGGGAUAAGCGUUGGAAACGACGUCUAAUACCGGAUACGAGCUUCCACCGCAUGGUGAGUUGCUGGAAAGAAUUUUGGUCAAGGAUGGACUCGCGGCCUAUCAGCUUGUUGGUGAGGUAAUGGCUCACCAAGGCGACGACGGGUAGCCGGCCUGAGAGGGUGACCGGCCACACUGGGACUGAGACACGGCCCAGACUCCUACGGGAGGCAGCAGUGGGGAAUAUUGCACAAUGGGCGAAAGCCUGAUGCAGCAACGCCGCGUGAGGGACGACGGCCUUCGGGUUGUAAACCUCUUUUAGCAGGGAAGAAGCGAAAGUGACGGUACCUGCAGAAAAAGCACCGGCUAACUACGUGCCAGCAGCCGCGGUAAUACGUAGGGUGCAAGCGUUGUCCGGAAUUAUUGGGCGUAAAGAGCUCGUAGGCGGUUUGUCGCGUCUGCUGUGAAAUCCCGAGGCUCAACCUCGGGUCUGCAGUGGGUACGGGCAGACUAGAGUGCGGUAGGGGAGAUUGGAAUUCCUGGUGUAGCGGUGGAAUGCGCAGAUAUCAGGAGGAACACCGAUGGCGAAGGCAGAUCUCUGGGCCGCUACUGACGCUGAGGAGCGAAAGGGUGGGGAGCAAACAGGCUUAGAUACCCUGGUAGUCCACCCCGUAAACGUUGGGCGCUAGAUGUG